UUAGUUUCUAAAACUGUAAUGGAAGACCUUGAGUUUUCAUGUAGUAUCUGAAUUGAUCAUGUUUAUUGCUUUAUUUGUACACCACCUCGACAUACAAGCACAAAAGAAUACAAGGGUUUGCACGCAAUCAGCUUAAACGCAAACCCACUACCACACCUUUUCUCUUUGAAAUAAACGAUAAUAUAGAUGUACGCAUGGGCUUCUGCAUGGGCGCGGCGUGCCGCCGCGCCUUCUGCCUGCUAGUAAUAUAUAUAGGGACAGAUUGGUGCACAUAUAUGGAGGAUCUAUUAAGUGCAAUAGAGGUUGAUGGAAUGAUUGACAUGGAUUGUUUACCCCUUUAUUUCUUUCCAAAGUAAGUAUUUGGCCCCUACGUCGCCAAUGGACUGAUUACCCUUUAUUUCUUUCCAAAGUAAGUAUUUGGCCCCUACAUUUUGCCAAUGAAUUG
rnacentral:lncRNA from 1 species